UAAUUUGCAGAGGAUGCUUUUGGCGAGGCGCCUUCCGAGUUCCCUGGAACGGGACGCCAUAGAGGGUGAGAGCCCCGUCUGGUUGGAUGCCGAGCCUCUGUAAAGCUCCUUCGACGAGUCGAGUAGUUUGGGAAUGCUGCUCUAAAUGGGAGGUAUAUGUCUUCUAAAGCUAAAUACCGGCCAGAGACCGAUAGCGCACAAGUAGAGUGAUCGAAAGAUGAAAAGCACUUUGAAAAGAGGGUUAAACAGUACGUGAAAUUGUUGAAAGGGAAGCGCUUAUGACCAGACUUGGCCCCGGCGGAUCAUCCGGCGUUCUCGCCGGUGCACUCCGCCGGGCGCCAGGCCAGCAUCAGUCCGCGCCGGGGGAUAAAGGCCCCGGGAAUGUGGCUCCCUCGGGAGUGUUAUAGCCCGUCGCGCAAUACCCUGGGGCGGACUGAGGAACGCGCACCCGCAAGGAUGCUGGCGUAAUGGUCAUUAGUGACCCGUCUUGAAACACGGACCAAGGAGUCGUCCUCGUAUGCGAGUGUUGGGGCGUGAAACCCCCUGCGCGUAAUGAAAGUGAACGCCGGUGAGAGCUUCGGCGCAUCAUCGACCGAUCCUGAUGUUCUCGGAUGGAUUUGAGUAAGAGCAUACGGGGCCGGACCCGAAAGAAAGUGAACUAUGCCUGUGUAGGGUGAAGCCAGAGGAAACUCUGGUGGAGGCUCGCAGCGGUUCUGACGUGCAAAUCGAUCGUCAAACAUGGGCAU
rnacentral:rRNA from 1 species